rnacentral:rRNA from 1 species
CAUUCGAGUGGCGGACGGGUGGGUAACGCGUGGGUAACCUGCCUUACACAGGGGGAUAACACCUGGAAACAGGUGCUAAUACCGCAUAAGCGCACAGGGCCGCAUGGCCCGGUGUGAAAAACUCCGGUGGUGUAAGAUGGACCCGCGUCUGAUUAGCUUGUUGGCGGGGUAGGGGCCCACCAAGGCGACGAUCAGUAGCCGGCCUGAGAGGGUGGACGGCCACAUUGGGACUGAGACACGGCCCAAACUCCUACGGAAGGCAGCAG